GUUUUAGAAUGUUGGUGACGUUCCAGAAACGUCGUGGGCUCGUCCUCUACAGACGUUGCUAGUUGGUCCCAUGGGGAACGUUGUAGGGACGUGAUCCUAUGGUCUCUACCCAGCAUACACAGUAUGUUGUGAGGACGUCGCCAGUUGGUCGUCAUUUGGUCAGCGUGACAUUACUUGACAACGUCGUGAGGACGUCGUGGUAACGUUCCAUUUUUCAGAAUUUUGGCUAAGGUCCCAGAAACGUCCUGUGCACGUCCUCAAAAGACGUCGCUAGUUAGUCGCAUGGGAACGUUGUAGCGACGUGGUCAGCUGGUCUGCAGAUAACUUGUCAUAUUAUUGCACUACAUGUAUUUGGCCUAUCUUUUUAAGGUGUAUACCAUUUGGAUAGCCUAUAAUAAGGGAAAUAUACUGAAUUAAUCAAGCAUUUUGCAUGAUGGCAUGAAUUGUUAUAGAAAUAUAAUAAUUAUGCCGUCAUUUAAAAUGUGGAUAUAUAUUUGUCAGCAAAUUAAUGACAAAACAAAAACCAAAUAGUUUGUUAGCAAAUAGCAAUAAUUUAUGCUUGUGAAUGACAGAAGAAAUUUAUUGAAAAACGGCAUGGGACAAGUGAACAUUUAAACCAGCGCACGUCACUUUUUGUGUACUGCGUAAGUGCGCGUGCCCGUCACUUUAACGGUCAACUUCCAGCAGACGGACACGAAGGAAAAGGUCCUGACUGUCAGUGAACCAGGCAAUGAUUCACAGGAGGAGAGAUAGUCUGGGCAGCACCAAGCCGACAACUAUUAUGAUUAUGAGUAGGGAUGAUUAUCGAGAACAGAAAUAACUGCAUAUCAUCCAAACCAUCUCCAAAUGAAUGGCUGCAAGAUAAUAAUCCAUCAUGUUUCAUAGGAAUCAGCGAAUCCUGGGCCUGCCUGACCAUUCUGUUGCCCUAGAUGUGAAGACACCCUGGAACUGCAUUUCUCAUGGUUGAAAGAGUUGUGCAUCGAUAUCCAGACAUACAAGAAGCCUUCCUGGACCCACACGACAAAAUGCUCAGGAGGAGAGGCAGGAUUUUUUUGAGACUAUGGAGGAUAGCUGGACCUUGGUCUGCCUGGGGGAUCUGGGGCCAUGGCCUUGUAUUCAAAGGAAAGGUGAAAAAUGAGGAAGUCUGGGAACCACUGAAGAAGGCAGCCGUGAGGGACGGAAGUAUUCAUCAGAACGUAAGUUCUUUGAGAAUGUGUGUGUCACGAAUCUGGUCGGUGUCCCGUUGUCCACUCACCACCAGAUGUCACUCUCGCUUCACCUACACACUCUGACUGUUACUUUGCAUCUUGGACUGCAUCUCCCAUCCUCCACCGCUCUGAUUGCGUCAGCCCCCGUGACCAAUCAGGCGUUCUAUAAAGACCCUGGUCCUCCCCAGUUGCACUUCAUGGAUUGUUGUUAUUGUAUUGUUGUUUUCCUAGCGUGUUCCUAGUUCCUGUUCCAAGUUCCUGGUUUUUUGAUCCCCCGCCUGGUU